CUUCGUCUCCAAAGUCUCCGUUGUAGACAUCUCAGAAAAUUCCCCGCAGAGGCGCAGACGAGGUGCGACUUUCGUUCCUCUUCGCCGCUCGCCGCUGAACCCCGACUAGCCGGCGGAGUCGGGAGCACACGGGAUCCGCGGAGGCGCGAGGACAUGGCCAACUCCUCCUCCUCCUCACGCUUCGGCUUCGCCGCCGCCGCCCCCUUCUCCGACCAAGUGCUCCUGCCCAGGGAGGGCAUCAGGUUUGAAGCUGAAGAGGCCAGGCUGAGAUUUCUGUCGGUUUGCUUUUAAACACUUGCCCCAAACCAGCGUGGCUAAGAGAAGGCAGGGUCCAUGAAGUUGCAUUUGGCUUUCUCAGUGAUGGAGAAGUGCAGGCUGCAACGCAGGAUACAACCAACUCCUCGUGCUCCGUCGCUGCCUUCUCUGAGGAGUUUGGAGAUGGAACGGAAGAGGGGCAGUUGUUCACUGCUUAACGAAGCAUCAUAUGACCACCAAAUAGAUGUCCCUAUGUAUCUGUGUAUAUGUACUGCUCAGCUUUUUGUACAUUUUGUAUGGCACAACCAUCUUUUCCA